rnacentral:rRNA from 1 species
AUUGAACGCUGGCGGCAGGCUUAUCACAUGCAAGUCGAGCGGAGUGAUGGUGCUUGCACUAUCACUUAGCGGCGGACGGGUGAGUAAUGCUUAGGAAUCUGCCUAUUAGUGGGGGACAACAUCUCGAAAGGGAUGCCAAUACCGCAUACGUCCUACGGGAGAAAGCAGGGGAUCACUUGUGACCUUGCGCUAAUAGAUGAGCCUAAGUCGGAUUAGCUAGUUGGUGGGGUAAAGGCCUACCAAGGCGACGAUCUGUAGCGGGUCCGAGAGGAUGGUCCGCCACACUGGGACUGAGACACGGCCCAGACUCCUACGGGAGGCAGCAGUGGGGAAUAUUGGACAAUGGGGGGAACCCUGAUCCAGCCAUGCCGCGUGUGUGAAGAAGGCCUUAUGGUUGUAAAGCACUUUAAGCGAGGAGGAGGCUCUUUUGGUUAAUACCCAAGAUGAGUGGACGUUACUCGCAGAACAAGCACCGGCUAACUCUGUGCCAGCCGCCGCGGUAACAC